GACGAACGCUGGCGGCGUGCUUAACACAUGCAAGUCGAGCGGAGCGGCGAACGGGAGAGUAACGCGAGAGUAACUGACCCCCUCUCUGGGAACACAGUUGGAAACGGCUGCUAAUACCGGAUAGUGGGGGAUGACUCGCGUCCUAUCAGCUUGUUGGUGGGGUAGUGGCCUACCAAGGCGACGGCGGGUAGCCGGCCUGGGAGGGGGACCGGCCACAUUGGUCUGCGGUACGGCCCAAAAUGCUACGGGAGGCAGUGGUGGAGAAUAUUGCACAAUGGGGGAACCCCUGUUGCAGCGGCGCCGCGUGCGUGAAGCCGGGCUUCGAGUGGUAAACCGCUUUCAGCCAAGACGCGGUAGUGGCAGAAGAAGCACCGGCUAACUACGUGCCAGCAGCCGCGGUAAUAC
rnacentral:rRNA from 1 species